AGAGUUUGAUCCUGGCUCAGGACGAACGCUGGCGGCGUGCCUAAUACAUGCAAGUCGAGCGGACCUCUUCGGAGGUCAGCGGCGGACGGGUGAGUAACACGUGGGCAACCUGCCUGUAAGACUGGGAUAACUCCGGGAAACCGGAGCUAAUACCGGAUAGUAUCUUGAACCGCAUGGUUCAAGUUGGAAAGACGGUUUCGGCUGUCACUUACAGAUGGGCCCGCGGCGCAUUAGCUAGUUGGUGAGGUAAUGGCUCACCAAGGCAACGAUGCGUAGCCGACCUGAGAGGGUGAUCGGCCACACUGGGACUGAGACACGGCCCAGACUCCUACGGGAGGCAGCAGUAGGGAAUCUUCCGCAAUGGACGAAAGUCUGACGGAGCAACGCCGCGUGAGUGAUGAAGGUUUUCGGAUCGUAAAACUCUGUUGUUAGGGAAGAACAAGUGCGAGAGUAACUGCUCGCACCUGACGG
rnacentral:rRNA from 1 species